GCUCCCCCCGCACCCCGGGUCGCUCGCUGCCGGUUCUUCUCCCCGUCCCUUUUCUCCUCGCCCCCUGAGCAUCCCCACUGGCGGAGCGGUGGCCUGCGGUCCCGGGGAUCCCGGGGCAGCACCUGGGGAUGAUGGCACGUGGGGGGGCUUUUGUCAAGCAACAAAAUCUAGAUGAUGAUAAAAUUCAGUCCAGAAUCAGAUGUUCUACAACAGUCACGUCACUUCAGCCCUUCUCAGCAGACCAGCUGUAGCCUACAAGUGAGAGGCAGCAAAAGCAUGUCCUGAUGUAAAAUAUAGUUUUCAUUUCUCCUCUGCCUGCUCUGGGCUUGAAGAUUUUGUCCACCAACUGAUAAUAACCCAGGUUCCUUGGGAUAAGAAGCUACAAGAUCAAAACCACCUGAGUUAAUGGAUGUCAAAUACUGCCAUCCAAGAGACAUCCAGUGUUCUAAUCCACCAUACUGUGGAGCUGGCCUCAGGUGAGAAGUACAUCCCAAAUUACACAUGCUGGAAGCAGAAUCAUUGCCAGGCAAUACACUUCUUCAUUUGUCUUAAGUACAUGAAGAAAACUAUGGAAUCAUUACACUUCUUCAGACAGCUAUUUUAUGUUGUUUCUGCCCACAUCAGUAAUAAACCCAGCUGAUAAUGAAAUAACUUCUCCAACUGCCU